GGAUUGCCCUAGUAAUGGCGAAUGAACAGGCAAAAGCUCAGAUUUGAAACCCUCGGGAUUGUAAUCUGGAGACCUGGAUUUGGCACGCUGACCAAGUCUUCUGGAACGGAGCGCCAUGGAGGGUGACAGCCCCGUAGCAGCAGCCACUGUAAAUCCGGGUCGACGAGUCGAGUUGUUUGGGAAUGCAGCUCUAAGUGGGUGGUAUGCUCCAUCUAAAGCUAAAUAUUGGCGAGAGACCGAUAGCGAACAAGUACUGUGAAGGAAAGAUGAAAAGAACUUUGAAAAGAGAGUGAAAAAGUACGUGAAAUUGUUGAAAUGGAAGGCAAUGAGGUGCGAUUGAACCGGACGUUUGCGGGCAGGACAAAAGCGCAGGCCGCCUCGGCAUUGCCUGCGUGCAUACUGCCUCGCGGACUACCAGUUCUAACAACGCCUUAUUGCACCCGUCUUGAAACACGG
rnacentral:rRNA from 1 species